rnacentral:rRNA from 1 species
UACGGGGGGGGCAAGCGUUGUUCGGAAUUACUGGGCGUAAAGGGCUCGUAGGCGGCCAACUAAGUCAGACGUGAAAUCCCUCGGCUUAACCGGGGAACUGCGUCUGAUACUGGAUGGCUUGAAUCCGGGAGAGGGAUGCGGAAUUCCAGGUGUAGCGGUGAAAUGCGUAGAUAUUGGGAGGAACACCAGUGGCGAAGGCGGCUACCUGGACCGGUUCUGACGCUGAGGCACGAAAGCUAGGGGAGCAAACAGG